rnacentral:lncRNA from 1 species
UGGGCUUGUGCUGCCCCAGGCUCCUCUCUCUGUCUGCCUUUAGGUCACCUAUCAGCUGCAAAGAGGCCUGGUCCCAGGAGACACACUGUGGAGCCGGCCCUGGGAUGUCACAGAAGGCAAAUCAUCUGCAGCUUGGCAUGCAUCAGAGGACAAGUCUGGAAACUGCAGAGGCAGGGCACAGACCUGAGACUGGUUCACUGACUUCAUCUCCACUCUGUGCUGAAGCACAUUCCCGAUGCCUGGCUGAAGCCAUCGCUCUCCUGCCUCUGGGACCACACAUGCUGUGCUUUGCCCUGUCACACCUUAACUGAAGACCCAUCCAAAGACACACUGGCUGGACCGCCCGCCAUCCCAUGUGUUAAAAGGACUCAAGAGUUCUCUGUGUUCACCUCUCAACCAUAGACUAUGCAGUUCCCCUACCUUUCCCCUUGUUCAGCAAGCCUUCCAGUGUGCUGCCUGAGCCACAAUCUGGUGGUGGUCACGCUGACAUCUGUGGUGCCCACCUGUCCCUCCUCAGCACCACCCUGCUCUUCUCUGCACCACCAGCCUGUGCAAUCCCUUCCUCCUCCACUAUCCCUGAAGCCAGGAAUUUGACAGAAUCUGCCUGUUGGAGCAAAGAUACCAAGUGGCAUCCAGGAAAGGACAGUCCCUCAUGUCACAAGUUGGGCAAGGAGUGGGGAUGAAGGCGUGAACAAGACCCUCUCAGCCUCCAGAUGAUCAUCCACCAGCUGCAGCAACACCCUCCUCUCAUCCCAAAGCUGUUAUCAGUAGCUUACAAUCAUCAACAUGUGCUCGCCCUAAUUUUCAUGGUUUCUAAAUGCUUAGAUUAUUUUCCCUGCUGAAAUGCCUCAGUUACAUUGGCCGUGAGGAUUUUUCUAGAGUAAUUCUUCCCUGCUUUUACCUCUAGUAAGAGAAGAUUGCAUUUCAGUGGAAAAAUUACGUAGGAAAUAGGAAGAGACAUUUGCAGAGAUUCUAUUCCCUUUACCACUCUCAGUCAUUCUAGUGUUAUAGAAAGAGCCAGCAGUGUCCUCAAGGUCAAACUGGCUGAAUGCGUUUAUUAUUGUAAUGAUUACCAACCGUCUACCUUCACACAACACUAUCAUUACAGGAAAGCCCAUGAAAAUGCCUUCUUAGGCCUCAUUAAAGUUUCCAAUAACUCAGUCCAGCAUCUUCAGAUAGUUUCAGGGGUUAAAUCAAUACACAUAGUCCAAGAAUCAACAAGCCAAGACUGCCUAUUUCCUUGAGCUCUUUUAUUAGUCUUUAUUUGAUUGUAAGUGCUCUGGUAUUUUGGAAAUACCACCAGUAGAAAAUUAAACUUGAGCCAUGUUGGAAGGGACCUCAAUAUCGCUUUAUUCAUUGCUAAACUUUGGGUCCAGGUUUCUCAGUUAACAAAAUACAAGACCUGUUCAUUAUUGGAAGAACACUUCGAUGCUGGACCUUAGGCUAGGAUUCUGUGGAGAACCUCCAAGUAGAGCCCAGCCAGAGACAGUCAUCCACACCUAGGACUGCAGGACAAGUAGAUGUUUCGAGGAGGAAGUCAGCCCCUGCCCCAAUCAUGAACAAAGUCCACCUACACUCACCUUUGUUGCCAGCAUACAUUCUCCUACUCUUUUCGAAUCCCUGGAAAUGUCCUGUCUCCAUCCUCAGUAAUGCUUCUUCCUUACUAUGCAUGCUUCCUCCUCCUUAAUGUGAUUCCUCCAUGCCGUUUGCUGUCCUGUAUUUUCCUGUCUUGACUGUAAUUCACGCUCAUGAAAUGACCAUUGAUUAUUUUCUCAGCCUAGGGAAACAAGCAGCCAGUGAAACUAACCAAAGUGUUUGUUGGAUCUGUGGUCCUGUUCUUCAGCUUGCUGUCACUCUAACAAAAUACCUGAGAUAACCAAAUUACAAAGAGGAACAGUUAAUUUGGACUCACAUUUUGGAUGUUACAGUCCAUGAUCAGUUGGCUUCGCUGUUUUUAGGCCCAUGAUGAGGCAGCACAUUAUGGUAGGAGCACAUGACAGAGAAAACCUGCUUGUAUCAUAAGCCAAGGAGCAAAAGAAUGGAAGGGGAAGGCACUGGGGUCCCCUAAUUACUGCCAAGGCCAUACCCUCAAGGAGUAAGCACUUCUGUCAGGAACCACCUUUUAAAGUUUCUACCACUUCCCUAUAGUGCUAUCCUGUGGAACAGGACUUUAACACACUCACUUUGGGGCGACACUGAGCGCGCACAUUAUAGCAAUGCCUAUACUCCAUUUAAUCUUAAGAUUGACAUUUUCUUAAUUAUUGUCUUUUUUAUGCUUUAGAUAUACAGAGCCAGCUAGUUCUUCUUUUGGGAAGAUGUUGAGCAAUGCCUUAAAAGCACUUGGAACUCAAGACUUUGAUGUGGCCUCUUGAAGGAGUUUGCUUGUUGUUUUUUGGUACU